UACGUAGGGGGCAAGCGUUGUCCGGAUUUACUGGGCGUAAAGCGCACGUAGGCGGAUUCUUAAGUCAGGGGUGAAAUCCCGAGGCUCAACCUCGGAACUGCCUUUGAUACUGGGGAUCUUGAGUUCGGGAGAGGUGAGUGGAACUGCGAGUGUAGAGGUGAAAUUCGUAGAUAUUCGCAAGAACACCAGUGGCGAAGGCGGCUCACUGGCCCGGUACUGACGCUGAGGUGCGAAAGCGUGGGGAGCAAACAGG
rnacentral:rRNA from 1 species